GAAACCGCGAAUGGCUCAUUAUAACAGCUAUAAUUUACUUGAUCUUGACACAAUCCUACUUGGAUAACUGUGGUAAUUCUAGAGCUAAUACAUGCAUUAAAGCUCUGACCUCACGGGAAGAGUGCAUUUAUUAGAACAAAACCAAGCGGCUUCGGCUGUUUCUGGUUGACUCAUAGUAACUGAGCUGAUCGCAUGGUCUUGCACCGGCGACGUGUCUUUCAAGUAUCUGCCGUAUCAACUUUCGAUGGUAGUGUAUCUGACUACCAUGGUGAUCACGCGUAACGGAGAAUAAGGGUUCGGCUCCGGAGAGUUCGCCUGAGAAAUCGCGAACACAUCUAAGGAAGGCAGCAGGCGCGAAAAUUACCCACUCUCAGCACGAGGAGGUAGUGACGAAAAAUAACGAGACCGUUCUCUUAUGAGGCCGGUCAUCGGAAUGGGUACAAUUUAAACCCUUUAACGAGUAUCUAUGAGAGGGCAAGUCUGGUGCCAGCAGCCGCGGUAAUUCCAGCUCUCAAAGUGCAUAGAAUUAUUGCUGCGGUUAAAAAGCUCGUAGUUGGAUCUGUGCCAUAGGACGUGGUCCACCUUCGGGUGCGUACUACGCUCCUAGGCUUUUUGCUGGUUUUCCCGUCGUAGCCUUCACUGGUUGCGGCGGGUGGCUGGCGAGUUUACUUUGAGAAAAUCAGAGUGCUCAAUACAGGCGUAUCGCUUGAAUGAUUGUGCAUGGAAUAAUAGAAAAGGAUUUCGGUCCUCUUUUAUUGGUUUUGUGGACUGAGAUAAUGGUUAACAGGGACAAACGGGGGCAU
rnacentral:rRNA from 1 species